GACGAACGCUGGCGGCGUGCUUAACACAUGCAAGUCGAGCGGUAAGGCCCUUUCGGGGGUACACGAGCGGCGAACGGGUGAGUAACACGUGGGUGACCUGCCCUUAGCUCUGGGAUAAGCCUGGGAAACUGGGUCUAAUACCGGAUAUGACUCCAUGACGCAUGUUGUGGGGUGGAAAGCCUUGUGCGGCUAGGGAUGGGCCCGCGGCCUAUCAGCUUGUUGGUGGGGUGAUGGCCACCAAGGCGACGACGGGUAGCCGGCCUGAGAGGGCGACCGGCCACACUGGGACCGAGACACGGCCCAGACUCCUACGGGAGGCAGCAGUGGGGAAUCUUGCGCAAUGGGCGAAAGCCUGACGCAGCGACGCCGCGUGAGGGAUGACGGCCUCGGUUG
rnacentral:rRNA from 1 species